AGCAGCCGCGGUAAUUCCAGCUCCAAUAGCGUAUAUUAAAGUUGUUGCAGUUAAAAAGCUCGUAGUUGAACUUCGGGAUCAAUUAGUUGGUCAUGCCUUGGUAUGUACUGAUUUUAUUGGUUCUCACCUUCUAAAAGAACUAUAAUGUCAUUUAUUUGAUGUUAUAGGGAAUUAGGACUGUUACCUUGAAAAAUUAGAGUGUUUAAAGCAGGCUCACGCUUGAAUACAUUAGCAUGGAAUAAUGAAAUAGGACAUCGCAUUCUAUUUUGUUGGUUUCUAGGAUCGAUGUAAUGAUUAAUAGGGAUAGUUGGGGGCAUUAGUAUUCAAUUGUCAGAGGUGAAAUUCUUGGAUUUAUUGAAGACUAACUACUGCGAAAGCAUUUGCCAAGGAUGUUUUCAUUAAUCAAGAACGAAAGUUAGGGGAUCGAAGACGAUCAGAUACCGUCGUAGUCUUAACCAUAAACUAUGCCGACUAGGG
rnacentral:rRNA from 1 species